rnacentral:rRNA from 1 species
AUUGAACGCUGGCGGCAUGCUUUACACAUGCAAGUCGAACGGCAGCACGGGGGCAACCCUGGUGGCGAGUGGCGUACGGGUGAGUAAUAUAUCGGAACAUGUCCGGAAGUGGGGGAUAACGUAGCGAAAGUUACGCUAAUACCGCAUAUGCCCUGAGGGGGAAAGGGGGGGAUCGCAAGACCUCUCGCUUUCGGAGUGGCCGAUAUCAGAUUAGCUAGUUGGUGGGGUAAAGGCCUACCAAGGCAACGAUCUGUAGCUGGUCUGAGAGGACGACCAGCCACACUGGGACUGAGACACGGCCCAGACUCCUACGGGAGGCAGCAGUGGGGAAUUUUGGACAAUGGGGGCAACCCUGAUCCAGCCAUGCCGCGUGAGUGAAGAAGGCCUUCGGGUUGUAAAGCUCUUUCGGACAGAAAGAAAUCGUGCAGAAUAAUACUCUGUAUGGAUGACGGUACUGUAAGAAGAAGCACCGGCUAACUACGUGCCAGCCGCCGCAGUAA